UGAACGCUGGCGGCGUGCCUAAUACAUGCAAGUCGAGCGAACAGACGAGGAGCUUGCUCCUCUGACGUUAGCGGCGGACGGGUGAGUAACACGUGGAUAACCUACCUAUAAGACUGGGAUAACUUCGGGAAACCGGAGCUAAUACCGGAUAAUAUAUUGAACCGCAUGGUUCAAUAGUGAAAGACGGUUUUGCUGUCACUUAUAGAUGGAUCCGCGCCGCAUUAGCUAGUUGGUAAGGUAACGGCUUACCAAGGCAACGAUGCGUAGCCGACCUGAGAGGGUGAUAGGCCACACUGGAACUGAGACACGGUCCAGACUCCUAAGGGAGGCAGCAGUAGGGAAUCUUCCGCAAUGGGCGAAAGCCUGACGGAGCAACGCCGCGUGAGUGAUGAAGGUCUUCGGAUCGUAAAACUCUGUUAUUAGGGAAGAACAAAUGUGUAAGUAACUAUGCACGUCUUGACGGUACCUAAUCAGAAAGCCACGGCUAACUACGUG
rnacentral:rRNA from 1 species